UACGUAGGGGGCAAGCGUUGUCCGGAUUUAUUGGGCGUAAAGAGCGUGUAGGCGGCCAGGUAGGUCUGCUGUGAAAACUCGAGGCUUAACCUCGAGAUGUCGGCGGAAACCAUCUGGCUAGAGUCCGGAAGAGGAGAAUGGAAUUCCCGGUGUGAGCGGUGAAAUGCGCAGAUAUCGGGAAGGAACAGCCCGUGGCGAAGG
rnacentral:rRNA from 1 species